rnacentral:lncRNA from 10 species
GCAGGGAGCCAGGAUUGCACCACUGCACUACAUCCUGGGUGACAGAGUGAGACUCCGUCUCAAAAAAAAAAAAAAAAAAAGUUUAACUUACAGUACUUUCGCCUGCCCAAAUGGCCCCUGCUGCACCUCAUCUCUGAUUCAUGAUUUUACAACAUUUAUGAAAACCUUUCAGACGUGUUAUUCAAAGUCUCUUCAGAUAUGAAUUUGAUGGUCUUGCUAUGCCAUCUAGGCUGGAGUACAAUGGUGUGAUCAUGGCUCAUUACAGCCUCAACCUCCCAGACUCAAGCGAUCCUCCUGCCUCAGCCUCCCAAGUAGCUGGGACCACAAGCAAAUGCAGCCACACCUGGCUGAUUUUUGUAUUUUUUUUUUAUUAUUAUUACACUUUAAGUUUUAGGGUACAUGUGCACAAUGUGCAGGUUUGUUACAUAUGUAUACAUGUGCCAUGUUGGUGUGCUGCACCCAUUAACUUGUCAUUUAGCAUUAGGUAUAUCUCCAAAUGCUAUCCCUUGCCCCUCCCCCAGCCCCACAACAGUCCCCGGAGUGUGAUGUUCCCCUUCCUGUGUCCAUGUGUUCUCAUUGUUCAAUUCCCACCUAUGAGUGAGAACAUGAGGUGUUUGGUUUUUGUCCUUGGGAUAGUUUGCUGAGAAUGAUGAUUUCCAGUUUCAUCCAUGCCCUUAAAAAGGACAUGAACUCAUCCUUUUUUAUGGCUGCA